AUUGAACGCUGGCGGCAUGCCUUACACAUGCAAGUCGAACGGCAGCACGGACUUCGGUCUGGUGGCGAGUGGCGAACGGGUGAGUAAUAUAUCGGAACAUACCCAGUAGUGGGGGAUAACUAUCCGAAAGGAUAGCUAAUACCGCAUACGAUCUGUGGAUGAAAGCAGGGGAUCUUCGGACCUUGUGCUAUUGGAAUGGCCGAUAUCUGAUUAGCUAGUUGGUAGGGUAAAAGCCUACCAAGGCGACGAUCAGUAGCUGGUCUGAGAGGACGACCAGCCACACUGGAACUGAGACACGGUCCAGACUCCUACGGGAGGCAGCAGUGGGGAAUUUUGGACAAUGGGGGCAACCCUGAUCCAGCAAUGCCGCGUGAGUGAAGAAGGCCCUCGGGUUGUAAAGCUCUUUUGUCAGGGAAGAAACGGAGUUCUCUAAUAUAGGAUUCUAAUGACGGUACCUGAAGAAUAAGCACCGGCUAACUACGUGCCAGCAGCCGCGGUAAUACGUAGGGUGCAAGCGUUAAU
rnacentral:rRNA from 1 species